rnacentral:rRNA from 1 species
UACGUAGGGAGCAAGCGUUGUCCGGAUUCACUGGGUGUAAAGGGUGCGGCAGGCGGAUUCGUAAGUCAGAGGUGAAAUCGUCACGGGCUUAACCGUGAAACUGCCUUUGAUACUGUCAGAUCUUGAGUUUGGGAGAGGUUGAUGGAAUUCCAGGUGUAGCGGUGAAAUGCGCAGAUAUCAGGAAGAACACCCGUGGCGAAGGCGGCUCUCUGGUACGUGACUGACGCUGAGACGCGAAAGCCGUGGGGAGCGAACAGG